rfam:Sus scrofa chromosome X.
AGGUCCUCAAUAAGUAUUUGUUGAAAGAAUAAAUGAACCAACAAGUCUUAUUUGAGCACCUGUUAUG